CCAUAUUCUAGAGCCGUCUGCUGUCUGCAGAUUCCCCAAGAAUGGCCAGAAACCAUUUUUUGAAGGAAAAUUUCCCAUUUGUGUAAACGGUGGGAGCCAAGCAAAGAGGUCCACACACACUGCGGGCCAGAGGGCACUAAUAUGCAAACUCUACCCCAGACAACUUUAACAUCCCAUCAGCACAAGCACGUAAGAACUUAAUGGAAUUCUGUUGGCAGAAGAGUUUCGUCAUCGUACAGACAGAAAAUCCCACCUUCUCGUGGACUGUCAUGUCAACGAGGCCUAACUGGGGAAGGUCAGGCUGAGUGUGACAGGGAAACGGAAGUUAUGGCUGCACGUGAGGAAGACACCAGACUGAGUGGGAAGCACCGAGAGGAGAGCUGGACCCGACGGAGCCUGACUCCAAUCCCGCUCUCAGGGAGAAGGGAGUGACAGGCGAGUGCUCCUUAAAAUCGCAAGCGGCACUCCCCGCCCGGAGGACAGGAAAACAGCACCUAAAACAACGCCAGAAGCCAUCAAAUCUUCUCGUUCCAGUUCCCCGGCUUCAUCACCUUGCUUCUACCCUAUGCUUUUAUCCUCCCACUGGGUGACAGCUCGGGACUGUCUCAUCCACAUUUACCAACCUCGUAUUUUUCCUGGACUGUGCUAUACAGGGGUGCUACGUGAAAGGAGUCAAUGUGCGGACGAAUUCUGUAUGAAAGAUAAAAAGAUAAAUUUCUUCUAUUCUCUGGGUCUCCUCAGGGUCCACAAUAUGAAGCAUGAAUAAACAAUGAAGAGGAAAUUUUACCAUAUAGCAAAUUCAUUCGAUCACGGAAUACUUAUUUUAGGGCACCAUUUCCAGAAAUCGUUCUUUGACGUUGUUCCAAGAUCGGCUGGUUGCAAAGAAGACACCGUCUUUACGUUAAUACAAACACAGAUUCCGAAUGAAAGCCAAAUCACAUGCAUUUUUCUAUUGUGGUAAAAAACAUAUGAACUUUACUAUCUUCACCCCUUUUAAACAGAGAGUAUGGCAGCGUUCCCUAUAAGCACACAGUUGUGCCACAGAUCUCCAGAACUGUGGAGAAAAUUGCCAAGUUUUCAUUUUGCAAACUGAAAGUCUACACCCGCUGAAUAACUCCUCUUCUUCCCUCCCCGCAGACCUGACAAGCACCAUUUUAUUUUGUCUCUCAGAAUGUCACUACUUUGGAUUCCUCAGAUCACUCGAAUCCUACAGAAUUUGCCUUUUUGUGACCGGCUUACUUCACUUAACGUGAUAUGCUCAAGAUUCAUCUAUGUUAGAUGUGACAAGAUUUCCUUCCUUGUCAAGGCUGAACGAGACCCCAUUUUAUGCUCAUCCCACAUUUUCUUUAUCCGCUCAUCUGCAGAUGGACAUCUAAGCUGUUUCCUCCCGUUGGUUAUUGUGAACGAUGCAGCAAUAAACACAGGGGUACACACA